UGCAAGUCGAACGGCAGCACAGUAAGAGCUUGCUCUUAUGGGUGGCGAGUGGCGGUACGGGUGAGGAAUACAUCGGAAUCUACCUUUUCGUGGGGGAUAACGUAGGGAAACUUACGCUAAUACCGCAUACGACCUUCGGGUGAAAGCAGGGGACCUUCGGGCCUUGCGCGGAUAGAUGAGCCGAUGUCGGAUUAGCUAGUUGGCGGGGUAAAGGCCCACCAAGGCGACGAUCCGUAGCUGGUCUGAGAGGAUGAUCAGCCACACUGGAACUGAGACACGGUCCAGACUCCUACGGGAGGCAGCAGUGGGGAAUAUUGGACAAUGGGCGCAAGCCUGAUCCAGCCAUACCGCGUGGGUGAAGAAGGCCUUCGGGUUGUAAAGCCCUUUUGUUGGGAAAGAAAAGCAGUCGGUUAAUACCCGGUUGUUCUGACGGUACCCAAAGAAUAAGCACCGGCUAACUUCGUGCCAGCAGCCGCGGUAAUACGAAGGGUGCAAGCGUUACUCGGAAUUACUGGGCGUAAAGCGUGCGUAGGUGGUUGUUUAAGUCUGUUGUGAAAGCCCUGGGCUCAACCUGGGAAUUGCAGUGGAUACUGGGCGACUAGAGUGUGGUAGAGGGUAGUGGAAUUCCCGGUGUAGCAGUGAAAUGCGUAGAG
rnacentral:rRNA from 1 species